rnacentral:lncRNA from 1 species
UGAAAAAGUGAGAAAGAAGGCUACUGACCACGGGGACGAGGGGCCGAGGACCUCUGUCUAUUCCUAGAUCCUCUUAUCGCCGACCAGGCGCCGGUCUCGCUUCUUCCACUUCAAGAGAUCAUGCUUCGGAAACUAUGACAGAUGUAGAUCCUAACCCAUUGCUCAUGCUUUCGGUUCUCUCUGAGUUAAAGAUUGUCGAGUGCGCUCUUCUUAUCAUUGAUCGGUCACCCUAGCGGAAUUCUAACUCUCUUAUUCUUUAAUGCAAUGACUCCAUACCUUUCCAAGACUUCCUUCCGCCCCUACUAUGGAAAGAAGCUCUUUCCCCUCCUCACCCACGUAGCAGCGGUAAAUCAGCUACCCGCGCUCCCUAACUUCCUUCAUCAAGAGAGUCAUGAAAACCCGCCGAUUAGACCUAGACCCGAGUCGAGCCGUUGCAGCUACGUCAGUUCUUUCCCUUUCUGCAGUGCUUGCUCUUGUUUAAGAGUCAGCUUCAGUCCUUCUUCGAUCAGAAGUUUCUCCAGUUUCAACAAGCAUUGACACCUUGAGACCAGUCAUCUGGACCCUUGUUUUUACCCAUUAAUGAAAAGUAUGUAUAGCUUUUUUUGGAAUUGAAUAUGGAUGUGGAAAUCUUCUUUCAGAGUCCUUCGCCUUGGAUCUGAUCUUUGCUCCUACGAUAGUAAUGUUUGUAAUAGUCUUCUAAAUCAUAAAAACCUCCUACGUCCUUCUACGCGGCAAGGAAUGCUAAGAGAAAGAAGAAAGACAACUCCGCAAUAUCCCUGUCUUAUUGCACCGCGUAGUGGCCCUAAUGGAUAGUCCUUCGGACCUGUCUUAUGGCGCGCCUCCGGACCUGUCUUCUCGCCUUUCUUUUUGGCAACAAAAAAAGCUUUACUAGAGGCGCAAAGAAUAUUGCGUGGAAGUUCACUAUCAAAGAAUAUUGACGAAAAGAAAAGAAGCUCAUUAACGAGAAUUAAAGAAGCUCAAAAUGAAUCUGCUAGAUUGAAGAGCUAGAUUUCAGAUUAAUCUGCUAGAUUGAAGACGGAGGGAAAUGCUAGGUUUUGGGCCUAUAAAGUAGCAAGAAAUCAUGAAAAAUCAGGCAAAAUUAGACAAUUAUCGUUAAAUAUCAAUCUUUGAUUUAGUCCUAUUUAGAAGCAAAAAAGCCGGGAAAACGCAAUGAAAGAAGAACUCCUAGGACAGGGAAAAUCAAUGAAGACUUCUAGUUUGAGUUUCUGGUCCGGAGAAAUACGGGUCUAUUCUUGAUUUCCCUCCGUAAAAACAAGGCUCAAAGAAUGAUCGGAUUCUUUCAUUCUCGUUAAUGAGCUCAUUUUCUACCUUUCAAACUGCUACAGCUGAUUAAGUCGCUUCGCUCCCCCUUCUUUCUUUCCUGCCCUUUCCUCCCCUAAACCUUUAGGUUAUCCAUCUCCGUCCAGGCUCCUUUGGUCACCUCUUCCUCCCCUCCACCCUCCGGAACAAGGUUUCUUUCCUACUACUGCUGAUUAGGUCGCUUCGCUCCGGAAGAAGGUUCAAAGAAUAUUGAGCUGCUUAUGCUUAGGUCGCUGCGCUCCACCAGGUUUCUUUCCUUCCCUUUCCCGGUUUGGAUUCAAACUUCCUUUUUCCCGGACUUCCAAAGGAAGAAAUUUCAGACUCGAGGUUAAGAGGCGGAAUCCUCUUUCGAGAGGAUUAGGCGAGACCGCUACGUGGGGGUUUUCGUUUAAGAAGAAGAAGUAAACCACUCUUUGGUUCAAGUCGCGAGGAGGAUCAAGAGGUUCUGGAGCUGAGUGAGGAUAGGACCAAGCGGUACGAGGAGAAGAAAAAGGAGACCAGCUUCACCUGCCCUUGUGGGAAAGCCGGAGGCUGGAUCGGAAUUUGCUCUUUUCACGUAGUUGAGGAAUGAAAUCACUCGACUUUAGGAAGAGGAAUGCUCUUGCCGACUCGAUCCCUCGGCCUCUCGCCUGGCUUCUUCUUCAUUUACGUAAAUAGCUUUGAUUACGCUGGUUCUUAAAACCUACGGCAAGGAUCCAUAAGACAGGUCCGAAGGACUAUCCAUUUGAGUUGCGUGAAGAAGAGAAGAUUUCCGGUCUACGAGUGCAAAUCGUCCCGGUUGAACGUGGACUGAAUUACACAACGGGAGAGAUACAAAAGGCUGCAACUAAGCAAUUCGUAUACGUUGAAAAAGUCAGCCUCACGCCCUGUGCUUUGGGAGAUCUUUCCCCCACCUCUUUCAGCCGUCCCCGUGGUGGAGGCAGAUCUUGCUUGCUUUUCUUCAAAGUGAUUAUUUCAUAGAAUGAAUGAACAAGUAGGAAAAACGAAUAUGAUGAAUAAGACGAGUACAAGAAGCAAGCCAAUACAAUAAAGAGGAUGAUCGUACGAGAGUACACCCACCACCAGCAUCUGAUCUCGAGAAGGGAAGGGGUCAGACCGAGGCAAACUAAGACGAAGCCGAAGCCAACCGGAAGCGAACCCCUCCUCUUUCCCUUUCAUCAGAGUCCGUCGCAUAGGAAGUCGAUUUGAUCCUCCCCUCUUUCAUCUGAAGUGGAAGUUCUUCUCCUUUCUGUGGCAGUUCUUUCUUCCCUGAUUCAUUCCCUUGCUUUAUUUGUUAUACUAUUUAGUAAGUAAAUCGUUCCGCUGGGGAAGAAAGAUCAGAGUUUAAGAAAGAGAAGAAGAUCAUCAGACUCGAGACCUUUAAUAAGAACGAGAGGCGCGAAGCGCAUUUAUCUGCAGGGGAGCGAGUCCUUCGGACAGGAGCGCAAGCGCAAGAAAGGCGAGCCCUUUAUUUCAUAGUAGGGUUCCAGAGGUUAUCAGCUAAUAUAAGGAUAGUAGUUAUAUCAGUCGACCAGCGAGACCGCUAAAGAGAUAAGAGUAUUCAAGAUCAGAGAAGAAGAGCUCUUUAUUUGCACUCCUUAAUCUCGCUUGGCUUCGCCCCUUAGUUUCUAAUAGAAUAUCUUCUUAUAAGUUUCGCGGGAUCAGAGCGAGAUUGUCUAUAGAAAGAAGUACGAUGUAAGCGGCCCGGUCUCCCACUGAAAGGAGAGGGAUGAAAUAGCUCGACCCCACUUUGCCCCAUAUAGUUAACUAAGAGAGGCCCAUUCCGCUUCUAAAAGCACAAAAAUCUGAGACUUUUCUACUUGAUUCUUUUACCGCUCGGACUCAUGGUGGAUUGAUUUGGGUUCAAAAUCAUGCAAACUAGAAAAAGACGCUAGCUACCGGAGGGCUCGAGGCGAGCUUAAUAGUAGGGUUGGAGAGUCAGCGGAAUGGAAGUUUCAUGAAGAUUUCAUGAUCCCACGGAGAAAAUGAGAAAAGAGCUUUAGUUUUUCAAGAGAAGAGUAUGAAAGAAAGAUCAGAGAAUGAAAAAGAGAGGUUCAAAGAAUAUUGACAAGAGAAGAGGAUAAAGGCUGUAGGGAAGAGGAGGAGCAAAGAAUUUGCGAAAGCACUGUCUCAAGAAUCAACUGAAAGAGAAAAGAGAGAGAAGAAGAGCAAGAGCUUGAUAGAUAAAGCACUUUCAUAUUAUUGAAUAAUAUUCUUUCCUUCGCAGCUCAGAAGAGCUUUCUAAACCUCAAAAUAAUCGGAAAGCCUAUCACUCGCAGUUUCGCAGAGCUUUAUAAAGAGGUUCAGAGCUUGAAUUACUACUUAGAUCUUUUGAAUAUCUGAUUCUUUCUUGAGCAGUAUUAGCUGCUCUUCUUUACUUCUUCUUGAGUUCUUCAUAUUUUCUUAUUGAGAGGGAGACGAAGCUGGAAUUGAGGAAGCGAGAUCACAGACAGACAGCUAGAUCAAAAUGAGUGGAUUAAUAGGAAGCCCACGGCGGGUGGGAGGUAAGGAGACUAAUCCCGUCCCCCCUUUCCUUAACCUCAUCCUUAUGCCGAGAAGGGAGAGGCGAGACUGAAGGGGUUAGUUGUCCGAUGUGAGGCAAAUGAGACACUCUCCUUUCAUCUUCGUUCACACUCUCUUAUCUUUCUAAGAAUGAUAUCAAAAAUCAAGGAAAAUAGGCUCAAACUCUUUCUCUAAGGACGCGGGAUGGGAGUGAGUUGAAGGCAUACGAUCUGAAAGAAUUGCUUGACUAAGGGCUGACCUACUAACAAGAAAAGCAAGCUUCCAAACCUACUCAAAUAUGGUAGAUUUCAGAGUCCUCACUGGUUUCAUUGAAAAGGUCCAGGUGACUAUUCGCUAUUCUAAAAGACUAGGAGUCUCUUAUUUACUUAUCAAGGGAUUCCACUAAUUCCCACCUUCCCUGCCCUGAAACCCACCCUCUUUCAUUCUCGUCCCCUCUUCGCUAGUCUCCCUCUUGAGCAGCAAGGGAAGGGCGAGUCUAAUUAAUCUGCCGAAAUAAGGGAGAGCAUCUCAAGCUCCCUGGCAAAAUGGACAAUUGAGUAAGAAAUCGCCCUAUGCUAACAGCAACUUUGAAAGUCAAAUCAGCCAUUAAUAAGGAAUCCUUUCGUUGCACUCCUAAUAAGAUAAGGGAUAAGUCUUUCUCUCCUUUCAGUCGAGACCUUGUUCAUGGAUUCAGUCGUCCUCCGGCAGGUCGCAAUAUGCGCCUCGUUGCGCUCCUUUCUUCUUUUCCGCAAUAUGAAAAGCUCCUAACUACUAAUGGAAAGGACUGAGGACGUCCGAAGGACUCUAAACCGGACGACCAUACAUAGGGAGAGGCGAGAUCUAAUAUGAGUUGAGAAGCGCAUGAAAUCAAUGAACAAGGGGCGCAAAGAAUAUAUAGAAGGGAAAAAAAUAGCCAUUGGACGGAGGACUCCUUUAUGGAACUUCCAAUUUCUUGGACUCUGAAAUCCAUAUUAACUUCUUGGACUCGUCCAAACCACUCGGAAUGCACUCGGAUCUCAUUAACCACGGAUCGAGCUCCGGACUCUGGUUUAGAGUCCACUGUAUUUCGAAUAAGAUACUCGGCCGGGAUUAGCUUCAUUUUACAGUAAGAUCCGCAGGAUAAUCUUUAGGAAAGAAUCGGACUAAGGAUCAGUUGGAAAAGAAGGACGGACCCCAUUCCGGUUGGUUCGCAGCUACCUUCAACUUCGCUCCGAUCAUUGUGCGGAGUGAAUACACUACUGCCAUGAAAACCCGGGAGCCGUAGACGUCUUCCUUGUCUACCGACCAUAAACUGAGAGCGAGGAGAGCAAGAAAGUUAGCUUUUCCCUUUCGUUUUGCCCGGUUGCCUCCUACCUUCAAAUCCGCGUCUUGAUGGACUCAAUGAGCCUCCGCUCCAUUCUUUUUUCUCUUCGGGUUAGCUAAGAGUUGCCUACGGGUUGCUUUAGAAGCUUUCCCGCGUAGGGUUCAAUCUUCGACAUCUGAUAAUUAGCGUUCUGAGCCAGCCAAGAAGUUUUUCUAUAAGAUAGAGAACAUUAUGCAAUCGAAGUACACUAAAAACCUACCCUCGAGUCAGCAAAGAAGGUUCAUUCUUAUCACUCUGGCCCAAUCGGGAAGAGACAAAAGAAAGGACAUUCUUCCCCCUCCGACGGAGCAAAGUUCAUUUAUAGGAGGACAAAAAUUCCCUAAUGGAUAGUCCUUCGGACCUGUCUUAUGGCACCUUCUGACUAUUCAUCCUAUUUCUUUAGGAGGACUAUGAAACCUAUUACUUUGAGAAGCGAGGCUGAAGGGUUAGAUAUUAUGUCUGGUGCACAGCUAUAGUAAUAGCACAAGAAAAAGACCAGGACGGAGAGUUGCAUCAUCAUAUUGCUCUCCUUAAUGAGAAUGCUUCAAGACAUAACAUAAUGCGAGAACCCGAAUAAGAGAAGCCUGAGAUUCAAAAUCAAGCUCCAGAUGAGUUGAGCUGUCUCACCUUGAAUAAGGGUUGGAGCACCCUUGUGCCUAUGUAAGAAAGCAAGGAGUUUCGCGCCCGUGGUAACUGGGGAAAGUUCUCGCUAACCGAGAUACUCAAGGAAGGCGAAGCUUCUCGAAAGCACAGAACAGAAGGGAAGGGCACCGCUCAUGAGCAUAGCGCUCAAACAAGAGCCCACGAAGAGGAUCAAAGAAUUUGACGAGAGCUAUGAGAAUUUCCUACAUCUAAGGAAAGAUCCGGAGCUCGCGGAGCUCCUCUUGUCCAAAUACAAUAAAUACCGUGAUCAACCUUUGGGUUGAUUCCCAGCACAUGAAGAUGAAGAUGCAGGAGAUAUCAGCUAUGGAGCUACGAGUAGCCUAUCUCUCAGAGAGAGGGCGGCCCCAAGAAUAGACCGCAGAGGAGCAACCUUGUACGGUUGCAUUUGCCGAAGGGCCGACUAUGGACUGAUCGUCCCCUAUCCACGCCUUAAAUAUGACUCCAUUAAAGGAGUAGAAAUCACUCUAAGCCAACCGCAGGGAUCUUUCACUACUCCAGAUUGAGUGGAAGGAGGGAAUCCUGAUUUUCCCAAUAAGGCGGGAGGAAGACGAGAAAAAGCCUUAUCUAGACCGCUCCGUGGGGAUUUCUCAACUCCGUGAAAUGCACCCACAAAGAAGUGAAUAUGGAUAUAAAGAAGUCCGACGGGUCCGGAGGACCAAUUCUAAUGGGGAUCGUUGGGGAAUCAAUUUCUUAAGAAUCUUUGACCCCGUAGUUAGGAGUAUUAAGACCGAAGGCGUCACAGGUCCGAAGUCCUCGCAAUAUUCUUUGCGCCUGUGAAAAGUCAAUCAAAGAAAAGAAAAUGGGAAUGCAAAAUGUGCAUCUUUGUGCUAGAUUUCAGAUGAAUCCGCGGAGGGAAAUGCUAGGUUUUGACAUAGGGAAGUAGCAAGAAAAGACAAAAAAUCAGUCAUUUUUAGACAAUUUUCGUUAAAUAGAAAUCUUCAAAAAAGUCCUAUUUAGAAGCAAAAAAGCCGGGAAAUAGCAAUGAAAGAAGAAAGCCUAUAAAAGAAAUUCACAUGGAUCAGUUCUAGUUUGAGUUUAUGGUCCGGAGAAAUACAGGUCUAUUCUUCUCAAUAUUCUUUGACCCUCCGUCUUCAAUCUAGCAGAUUCAUAAUUCUUCUUGAAUUCGAGUUAAUGAGCUUCUUUCUUUGCGCCUGCGCCUGGACCAAAGGUUAAUAUGGAUGGAUAGUCCUCCUUCUAAUGGAUAGUCCUACUUCGGUUAAUUACGGAUGGUCCUACGGAUAAAUCCUCCGGACUCCGGAUAAAUCCUGCGGACUCCGGACUCCGGACUACUUCUGUUAAUUACGGAUGGUCCUACUUCGGUUAAUUACGGAUGGUCCUACUUCCAUAUGGAUAGUCCUACGGAUAAGAAUCCUCCGGACUCCGGACUACUUCCAUAUGGAUAGUCCUACUUCCAUAUGGAUAGUCCUCCGGAUAAAUCCUGCGGACUCCGGACUCCGGACCCUGGACCUUUCUUUGAUGGAGGUGAAAAGAAGAUUUUCGGACAUUCCCUGAAGCAGGAAGGUCACAUCCAGAGUCAGAAGUCAAUCUUCUUCCACCAGUCCCAGUGCCAGCUGAGGCAGAAAUACUUCACUCCCACUACUAGGUAGUUCUUCGGGGUCGGGUUGAGGCAGAGGUCCCAGUUCUUCUUGCUUUAGUUGAAUAAAGAUCAGUCGCAUCGUCCGUUGAUCGCUAUCUGAUCUCUUUAUGAAAGAAUGAAAGGGAUCACCACAGGGGAAUUGAGAUCACUUCCGAUACAUAUUCAAUAGUUCAGUUCUCGUAACCAUACUUUUUGUAUAUAGUUUGAAGCUAGUUCUUCAAGUUCGAGAUCGGUUGAGUUGAUAGUUACCGGCAUCUCCGGGACCGCAGUCCACUAGUGGUGGAGAGCUCUCGUCCGCUUUCUUUUCGGUGGGAAUCAGCAUCGGCAGAUGAAAGGUAGACUGAAACUGCCCCUCGGUAAAAUGCUAUUUUUCAUCUAUCAAUAUCCGAAGUAUUAGGCGCAAUGAAAUAUGCGAUUGCCUUCCAAAAAAAAAAGCUGUUAAAGCACUAAGUCAAAUGCUAGGGUAAGGCCAUCUAAUUACAGUAGGCAGUAGGAGUUACCAUCCCUCCAGUCCCCCUUUGCUUCCAACCAGUGUAGGAGUCGUUUUCUAGGCUCAUUCCCAAUCCAGUAGGAAAGCAGGCUCUAGGUCGAGAUAGACAGCAAGUAAGACAGUCGUCUGUCUAAGGGAAGGGUCUUACAGGAUUGAGAGAAGAUAGAAUUGGUAAUUGGGCUCUGUGGUCAUUCCCCUCUCUUUUGGUUGAUGAAUAGGUGAGCGCAUGCGGUUACUUCCGAACGAAGCGGUGGCAAGCUUUAGCUUAGCUGGCUAGCUGAAGAGAACAUGGGUUAAUGGGCUCUUAAGGCUUUCGGGUUCCCACCAGCUUUGGCUGCCCUGGGUCAAGACACUUUCAUGAAAGGAUGAGAGUUGCCAACCACAAGGAUCUUAUUUCCAAUCUUCGAAAAAGUCGUUCAAGAGCGGUAUUCUAAAUGAUGAGUUCUCGCUUGCACGCGCCACGUCGAAACUCAAGUCUUAGAACUCUUGCUCCUACCUUCUCAACUAUAGGAUACCACCAUCUGAUAUUGCUAGGCCCCACCACACAGAAUGAUGAACUUUGCGCCUCCAGGAAGGUCAAGCCAAGCCUUCAUGGAAUUUGUCUGGGCGAGAAGGGACUGUGACUCUGAGUCUAUUCUCGUCAUGAUCGAUUCACGUCCUACCUACGUUUGCUGAGAACCAAAGCUAGCAACCUCAGUCUUUGGAAAGGAAAGGAGAGGUGUGAAAGCCACUCGACUUGAAAGGAAAGAAAUAUCUGGCGUGCCGAACUUCAGUUACAACACUCUUUCCCUCCGAUCUGGGGGCUAGCUUGCUUCCACUGGUGGCGGGCGAAGGGUGCUCCGGAACUCCCAUCCAUCAGAGUGAGUUCCAGAAGGAGAUGUUCGCCGAGAGGUUUAGGAGAUAGGCUCAACCCCCACUCAUAGGUUUAGGCAGUUCGACCAGACGAGGAUGUGGUUUGUGCCCGCUCUUCCGCUUUUCAUCCUUUCUUUGGUGGAAAAAGCAGUCGCUUUUGUUCUUGAUUUGCUUAGAUUCAGAAUCUAAUAUAUAUAUAUAACUCAAAUCUCGGUUUAUGAUAAGAAAGAUUCCCAUGCUUAUAUUCAGAACUCCCACUGGCAUUUAACGAGAAGCAAGGGCUGCCGCUUUAGUGGAAUGAACGAGUCCUUCGGACGGCUAUGAGAUCUCUCAUUCUAAGGCGCAUCCGUCCCCCUCUUUCGGAGGCAGAUAAGGAAAAUCCCUCGUCCAGUCGGUCCUCCGGCAUUGAAUGAGAUCUCUUGACCAAUUUCUUCAUUUCCUGAUGUCUGACUGAGGCUUGUCACGGUACUCUCCAUCAUGGGUGAGGUUCAAUCCUCUCAUUCAUUUGAAGCGCUUUCCAUCCUCCAUUCCAAUUUUCCCAUGGCAUCUUUCUUCGUAAACAUUGAGAUAAAGUAGAAGCUCCCAUGACACAGGGACGGGAGGAGUUGAACCUCUCCUCUAAGUCGAGCGUCUGAGAACCUCUACCUCUCGAGUGGCCUGACCACGUCCCGCUAUUUCAGUAGUCUUUCAUCUUACUCGUUCAGCAAAAUCAAUAGAUAAUCAGAAGCCCUAACAAGAGCAUCUGCCACGGUGGGAUCCUUCCUAUCAUUCCAUUCUUUUUGAGUUUUAGUGAAGACCCCUCUAGUCAUCUGGACCUUUGUUUUUGGCGUGGGAAUUGAACCAGAUCCCCUUUAUUAAGGAGUAAGCCCACUCCGCGGUGCCAUAAGACAGGGAUAUUGUAAGGUCUAUAUUCUUCAAAAAACUGUUAGUAGCCUGAAGUCUUGUUUUUUAGAAGGAGUCAAAACUACUAUUCUCAUAAUCUACUCUAAGUGGCUUAUUUAGUGAAAAUGGUAAUUCAGCGGUUUCCGUGAAUCAAUAUAUAUUGCAUUCUAUCUUUUCUUGUGGUUUGCAUUUGCGAGACACAUGAAAGACGGAGAAAUACCAUAACUAAAAGAACCCAACAAAGGAGGACAAAGGCCAUUACGUACUCUGAGGAAGCACAAGGCGGGAGGAGAAUAGAAUAUUCUCUCUUUUCGGAGUGGGACCAAAGCAAAGACUAGACUCCAAAAGGCUGUUCGCCCAGAGGCAGUUCGACCUGUGGAUGUGGCUGCUUUUCUUGUUCUUUCUGUGGCAGAAGUCGUUGUUUUUGACAGAGUGUAGGCUCAAUGCAAUAUGAGCUUCUUUCAAAGCAAUUAUUCUGGUAGGAUAAAGAAAUGGAUGAAAUAGAGGGACGGAAGUAGCUCGACCAUAGGAAGAGGGACGGUGCGGUCUUUUUCUCAUUUAUGAGAUUAGUGAAUUAACGAAGAAGAACUCCUUCUACAGCCUAGUGGCCCCGAACCACCCGUGAAAAGAUAAAUGGACUAUCUUCCCAGGAAAGAAGGGGAAGGCCGGGUUUCAGGGAACCUCAAAGACGCGCCAUUUAUUAGUGACCAUUUUGCAAGGUUUUGACCUCUCCCAUAAGAAGAGAUACAUCAAAAUAGAAUAUGAUCCUCUUUUUAGUUUGAGUAGGUUUAGUAGGAAAAGAAAAAGCCUAGUAGAAGGCAUCAAAAUUCACCUUGUUCAUUGAUUGAACUUGAAUCUGCGUACUCGCAUAUUGAAUUUUUCCUUAACUGCGCCUACUUUAGAGCGAGUCUGAAAUCCAAGAAUAUCCCUGUCGAGCCUACAUCGCAAUAUUCUUUGCACCUUUAUCUUAACGGUCAAUGAAAUUUGAGAGAAAGAAUAUUUCAUUCCAAAAAAAAAGCUAUUAUAUGGAGCAAAGUGAUUUAUAGGAAAGCCCACGGAUUAAUUGACUGGAUCUUGUUGGAGAACUAAAAACCUAUCUUUAUAGUGGGACUUCUUUAUAUCCACUUAUUUAAUUAAUUGGAUCUUUCUUCUUCUUCUUUUUUCAGCCUUCGUCUUUGCCCCUUCGAUAAUUCUUUGAGCCUCUGGACUCAUUCAUUCCACCACCAGCCACCCCGUCCUUUUGACCUGGAUAUUCCACGGACUUAUUCCACCGCGUAGUGCGAUCUAUAUUUUGCCUUUCCAGAUCCGAUGUGCUGGCACCUUACGAGCCGUGGGGAUCCAGUGUACCAGGGCGCUUUCUUCUACUUUGAUAUUCCCUCGUCUACCAGGAUCAGGAUAAGGUUCCUUGCUUCUGAAUUAGUGAUUGAUUUGACCUUUCUCAGAGCAAAGAAAGAAGACGACUGCCUCGGCGAAAGAGAUGAAAGAAGGAGAUCAGCCACAAGAGCUGAAAGGACUGCUUCCCUUGAAAGCGCACCAAGGUACUGCCUCGAUCCUUUACCUCGUCAAAGUUAAGCUUCUUCGAUCCCUCUUCUGGAAACCUUGGGUUUCGCCUCCACAAGGCUUGGGGAAUUUACGUGCUUUGACCGACCGAAUGCUCAAAUAUGAACUAUAUUGAAAAAGAAGGAGUGGGCUUCAGUCUCUCCAUUCAAUGCUUUGGCGCAAGACUGCCCUCAGCACUCUAUUUGGUCACUCCCACUGUGACUGAUCCCUCUUCCGCGUAAGGGGUCGGGCCUCGUCUCGAGUUAGUUUACGUAAAAAGAUAAGAGGAAUCUCAUUAUGACUUGAGAAAGCCAAGCUUAUGAAAUGCGGGGUAUCUUUCGAGAAAGGUAUCCUUCUCCUGCAUUUGACGAUAUAGGUCGGCUUCGUCCAUCUCGCGAUCGUCCUCCUAUGCCCGGUUCUUCUCUUUAGUUUACUCUUAAUCGGGGUUCUACCGCACCCCUUUUCUAUUUCUUUUUGUGAGGGACUCAAAUUCUUUGAGCCUCCGUUCCAAAGCCUAAUUGCUGGAGAGGUCUCUCCUUUUAUUCACAGACAGAAAGAGAGAAGUCCAAUUAAAAGAGAAAUUCAUGAUUUCAUGGAAUGGGUUAGAAAAAAAGAGAAUGAGCACAGGCGAGAUCUAAUAUGAGUCUUCUAUAAUUUCAGAUUUCCUAUAUUAUUCUAAUCGUCAUAAUAGGGAAUGAAUCAGGUUAUUUGUCCAAAAGGAGAAAAGUGAAAGUGGAAUUCUCACAAAAUCAACCCCUUGUUCAUUCAGGCUAGGCUUUCUAGUAAUCGCGCCUCUUUCUUAAAGUCUUUUCCUGUCUACCCGCUCGAGUUCUUUGAGAGAAAUAGAUGAUCUCCUUUGAACCUUGUGAAUUGAUCUUUCUUCUUAUGAGCUUCGCGGAGUGCAAAGAAAGAGCUCCUUCUAAGUCUUAACCUAAAAAAUAAUAAUAGAAAGAGAUUCUUUACUCGUCCGUAUUCAAGAAUGACUACUCGUCUUAUUGAUUUCAUGGAAGUCAUUAAUAAAGUGUAAUAUCAAUUCAUUCUUUCGAUUUUCAUGAUGAGGCGCCAUAAGACAGGUCCGAAGGACCCAGAGAAAGAGUCUUCCAAAUCUUAAUACGAGAUAUAAGAGAAAAGAGAAGAUAAACCAGAAUAUCUUUGAACUAUCCUUUUAUAAGGCGAGAUCUAAUUGAGGAGAGGUAGUAGAAGGAGAUAGAAGAAGAGCCGGAUACUUUCAUAUUCUGAUUCCUUAUUAUUUGAUUUCGCGGUGCGAAGCGAAACGAAAGGUUUUGAUCAGAUUGAAAGAGUAUUCCAUUAGUAUGAGAUAAAAAGAAGAGCUG